rnacentral:tRNA from 1 species
GGCCCCAUCGUCUAGCGGUCUAGGACACUGGCCUCUCACGUCGGGAACAUGGGUUCGAUUCCCAUUGGGGUCA